rnacentral:misc_RNA from 1 species
AGCAGCCGCGGUAAUUCCAGCUCCAAUAGCGUAUAUUAAAGUUGUUGCAGUUAAAAAGCUCGUAGUUGAAUUUCGGGAUCAAUAUGUUGGUCGUGCCUCGGUACGUACUAGCUUAUUGGUUUCUCCUUUCUGAGGAACCAUGAUGUCAUUUAUUUGGUGUCGUGGGGAAUCAGGACUGUUACUUUGAAAAAAUUAGAGUGUUUAAAGCAGGCUCACGCUUGAAUACAUUAGCAUGGAAUAAUGAAAUAGGACGUUUGAUUCUAUUUUGUUGGUUUCUAGGAUCGACGUAAUGAUUAAUAGGGAUAGUUGGGGGCAUUAGUAUUCAAUUGUCAGAGGUGAAAUUCUUGGAUUUAUUGAAGACUAACUACUGCGAAAGCAUUUGCCAAGGAUGUUUUCAUUAAUCAAGAACGAAAGUUAGGGGAUCGAAGACGAUCAGAUACCGUCGUAGUCUUAACCAUAAACUAUGCCGACUAGGGAUCGGAUGAUGUUAAUUUUUUAAUGACUCAUUCGGCGCCUUACG